rnacentral:rRNA from 1 species
UGGGGAAUUUUGGACAAUGGGCGAAAGCCUGAUCCAGCAAUGCCGCGUGUGUGAAGAAGGCCUUCGGGUUGUAAAGCACUUUUGUCCGGAAAGAAAUCCUUGGCUCUAAUACAGUCGGGGGAUGACGGUACCGGAAGAAUAAGCACCGGCUAACUACGUGCCAGCAGCCGCGGUAAUACGUAGGGUGCAAGCGUUAAUCGGAAUUACUGGGCGUAAAGCGUGCGCAGGCGGUUUGCUAAGACCGAUGUGAAAUCCCCGGGCUCAACCUGGGAACUGCAUUGGUGACUGGCAGGCUAGAGUAUGGCAGAGGGGGGUAGAAUUCCACGUGUAGCAGUGAAAUGCGUAGAGAUGUGGAGGAAUACCGAUGGCGAAGGCAGCCCCCUGGGCCAAUACUGACGCUCAUGCACGAAAGCGUGGGGGAGCAAACAGGAUUAGAUACCCUGGUAGUCCACGCCCUAAACGAUGUCAACUAGUUGUUGGGGAUUCAUUUCCUUAGUAACGUAGCUAACGCGUGAAGUUGACCGCCUGGGGGAGUACGGUCGCAAGAUUAAAACUCAAAUGAAUUGACGGGGUCAUA